UGAAAGGAGAAUGAACAGACGUGUCAAGUGAAGUGGAGACAGCAAACCAGGCUGCCCUAAACUAAUUAAAGAGUAGCACUAUGUGUCUCAGAGGGUGAAAGAAGAUGGAGGAACGCCUCUGAGACUCAGGAAAGGAGUAGAGCUGCUAGAUCUGAAAUGCAGACUCAAACAGCAGGAAAAAUGGAACAACGCGUGGACACUCUGGACUGCUGACCAAAUGCUGGAGAGGCUUCCUCUGCUCCCUGGUAUCCUCUUGGAUGAAGUUGGGUGAGGAUGUCUCCAAAACAAUCAAAAUUUUGUGUCCCUCCAGCCUGGCAAAAUGAGAGCAUCAAACCCAGAUGUAAGUUGAUUUUAAUCAAAGAAAG